UCCCUGAUGGUCCAGUGGUUAGGACUUAGUGCUUUCACUGCCAGGGGCCUGAGUUUGAUCCCUGGUUGGGGAA
rnacentral:tRNA from 1 species